CUUGGAUUUAAAGGACAGCCACAGAAUCUGGCACCUUGGCCAGGUGAUGCUCCCCCCCAGUUGAUGCUCCUCCACCAGGUGAUGCUUCCCCACCAGGUGAUGCUCCCCCACAAGUGAUGCUCCCCCCAGGUGAUGCUCCUCCACCAGGUGAUGCUCCCCCCCAGGUGAUGCUCCCCCCAAGGUCAUGCUCCCCCGCCAGGUUAUGCUCCCCCCCAGGUGAUGUUCCUCCACCAGGUGAUGCUCCUCCACUACAUGAUACUCCCCUGCCAGGUGCUGCUCCCCCCUCAGAUGAUGCUCCCUCACCAGCCAAUGUUCCUCCACCGGGCGAUGCUCCUCCACCAGGUGAUGCCCCUACCAGGCCAUGCUCCUCUGUGGCUUCUACUCUGCAGAAUACCUACUCAAUUGAGCUGGAAAAUCAUUCCCCGUUAUGGUUGUCAGUGUUGACGCUGGUAGCAGCAUCAUCCCCCUUCAACAGAAUAAUUUUUACGUCAAGGGACUCAGCCACAAGCAGUAGAAGAAAUCAGCUCCCAGUUUGUAUCCUAAUAAAGGAAAGAUUCUCUCUGCUCACACUGCGAUGAGGCCCUGCCUAGAGAAGAAUGCUCCAUCAAACCCCUGAUUCCCGCUGACCCAGAGGAUUUGGGGCAGACAGGGAAUAUGGGGUACAGGGAAUACCCCCUCCACCUGGAGAGGGGCAGCCUGUCAGACCUGACUGGUGCUCAGCCCACACUGUACUGCUGCUACCAGGAGAGCAGGGAUGCCCCGCAGGUCAUGGGGUGGCAGGGGCCAGGCUGGAUGCCCACCACGGGCCGUGGCAGGCGAGCUCAGGCCUUGGUGCCACACUGUGGCCUGCUGUGUCCAUGGAUGCCCA
rnacentral:lncRNA from 1 species